rnacentral:rRNA from 1 species
GACGAACGCUGGCGGCGUGCUUAACACAUGCAAGUCGAACGGAAAGGCCCUGCUUUUGUGGGGUGCUCGAGUGGCGAACGGGUGAGUAACACGUGAGUAACCUGCCCUUGACUUUGGGAUAACUUCAGGAAACUGGGGCUAAUACCGGAUAGGAGCUCCUGCUGCAUGGUGGGGGUUGGAAAGUUUCGGCGGUUGGGGAUGGACUCGCGGCUUAUCAGCUUGUUGGUGGGGUAGUGGCUUACCAAGGCUUUGACGGGUAGCCGGCCUGAGAGGGUGACCGGCCACAUGGGGACUGGGAUACGGCCCAGACCCCUACGGGAGGCAGGAGGGGGGAAUAUUGCACAAGGGGCGGAAGCCUGAUGCAGCAACGCCGGGGGCGGGAUGGCGGCCUUGGGUUUGUAAACCGUUUUCGCCUGUGACGAAGCGUGGGUGACGGUAAUGGGUAAAGGAGCCCCGGCUAACUACGU